CGUUAAUACAAAGCUGAAACCUGAACCGUGGACAACAGAAGUUUCUGUUGGUCUCCCUGUUUAAUUGCAGAUUUUUUAAACAAAGCAGCUUGAAUGGAAAAAAAACUCAACGGAUCACGGUGCUCGUUAGGUUCCCGAAUUCCUUGCCUUAGCCAGCCCAAGGAGUCCAUUUACUGAGGGUGAUCAACGUUGCGAGAAGACGUUUGUGACAAUAAAUUUUUCAGGGAGGAUCACACUUCCUUCUUCGUAGGUGGUAUACAGUACCCGCUAUUAUUGUCCGAACACCCCCGUUUCAAAGCUUUUUAACAUGGGUUCUUAUGGCGACCCGUGCCCCGAUUCUCGAAAACCCGGGUAUCCACGGAUUGCCGCCAAAAGCAGCCGCCUAUGGGCGAUCCGGGUAACCUAUUUGCCAAGAUAUUGAAAGAUUGACAAGGCUGGGGCGGUUUUGAUGGGCAAAUCGUUUUUGGUAUGUGCCUGUGAGUAAUAAACGUGUCUUACAAAAGGGCCUCUUGAGUGUCUACCACGAUCUCCCCAAUCUUGACAAUAUUAUGUUACGGCCUCGCACCGAAAGGUUUCAUAACUCAUUGGGCGCAAUAAUGUGUGUAUUUUAGAUAGCACAUGUGAUUUUAAGAGCAAUGACUGAGACAAAAUAUCGGCUGAAAAUAGUUGCAACCCAAACGAUGAAUUUUAUUAUAUAAGCUUGUGUUUCAGUACAUAGAUUAGCACAUUUUCUA